rnacentral:sRNA from 1 species
AGCCGUGCGGCGGUUUGCGCGGAAAAGUAUGUUACAAGCUUGCUUGUAUAAGUACUUUUCUGUGUAAACUGACAUAGGGCGGAACGCCCGGGCUUCUUGUUUUCGUGCUUUUCGAAAACAAGAAGAUGCACGGCU